AGAGUUUGAUCCUGGCUCAGGAUAAACGCUGGCGGCGCACAUAAGACAUGCAAGUCGAACGGACUUAACCGAAGUAUUUAUAUUUUGGAGCGGUUAGUGGCGGACUGGUGAGUAACACGUAAGCAACCUGCCUAUUAGAGGGGAAUAACAGUGAGAAAUCAUUGCUAAUACCGCAUAUGCUGUGAGUAUCGCAUGGUACAAACAGGAAAGGAGCAAUCCGCUAAUAGAUGGGCUUGCGUCUGAUUAGAUAGUUGGUGGGGUAAAGGCCUACCAAGUCAACGAUCAGUAGCCGAACUGAGAGGUUGAACGGCCACAUUGGGACUGAGAUACGGCCCAGACUCCUACGGGAGGCAGCAGUCGGGAAUAUUGCACAAUGGAGGAAACUCUGAUGCAGUGACGCCGCGUGCAGGAAGAAGGUUUUCGGAUUGUAAACUGCUUUAGACAGGGAAGAAACAAGACAGUACCUGUAGAAUAAGCUCCGGCUAACUACGUGCCAGCAGCCGCGGU
rnacentral:rRNA from 1 species